rnacentral:rRNA from 1 species
UACGAAGGUGGCAAGCGUUGUUCGGAUUUACUGGGCGUACAGGGCGCGUAGGCGGUUGGAUAAGCCCUCCGUGAAAUCUCCAGGCUUAACCUGGAAAGUGCAGAGGGGACUGUUCAGCUAGAGGAUGGGAGAGGAGCGCGGAAUUCCCGGUGUAGUGGUGAAAUGCGUAGAUAUCGGGAGGAACACCAGUGGCGAAGGCGACUUCCUGGCCUGUUCUUGACGCUGAGGCGCGAAAGCUAGGGUAGCAAACGGG